rnacentral:lncRNA from 1 species
CUCACAUCCCACCCACCUUGGUGUUUGCAGGAGAGGCAUCUCUCCCAGAUAUCUGUCUUCUGCAGCCCUCACUGGGAUGCUGCUGGCCUCAAGGACAGUGUAACCAGGAGCUUUGAGAAGUGUGUCAUCGAAGCUGUGAGCUCUGCCUGCCAGUCUCAUACCAGUGUCCUGGAGGGAGUCUCUUGUCAUGAUUUGCAGAAAUUUGGCAGCCUUGUGUCUGCUGUGAUCACCACAUCCUGGCCCAGGAACAACAGAGAGGCUGUGGAAGGCCUGGAUGAGAUUCUUGAACACCUGCUCACGGGGCCAGAUGUGAAGCAGCUCUUCAAGUUGUACAGGACGGAUGAGAAGCUGUUAGCCUACAUCACAGAGAAUGCCAAGAGAUUGAUGGCUGCUGCCAGGUCUGUCUUCAUGAAGGUUGCUGGUGACAUCCUGGAUGGGUCCAUAUUGGUCAGUCGGUUGGAGCUGAUCCUGAAGCACAAAAGUCAGUUUCUGGAACUGUGGCAGUUAGGUGAGCUGAGGCCAGGCUGGUAGGAAGCCCCUGUUCAUAUCUGUGCUGGUUGUCCUUAUCCAUACCAUCAAGUGGGGGCCUCCUUGUCCUUCUGGUGGUGAUUGUGGGGCACUUCCAGGGAGAGAAAGGGAUGCCAUAAAAUUUGUUUUCCUUUGACUGACUUUGUCAUCAUUUUCAGAGACAGAAAGUUCUUCAUUCCAAGAGAAAAAAUGUGACAUGGAAGAGACACUGGACUGGAGGAUGGGCGAAGUCAUGUUUCUGAAGAGAGAGAAGAGAGAGGUGGACAGCCUCCUAGGGCUGUGUGGGAAGGUGAAGCAUCUCAUCCAAGGUACUGCUCCUGUAGUUGUGCUGGGAACCCUUGAGGGCUGUCAUGGGG